rnacentral:rRNA from 1 species
UAGAGUUUGAUCCUGGCUCAGGAUGAACGCUAGCGGCAGGCUUAAUACAUGCAAGUCGAGGGGCAUCGCAGUGUAGCAAUACAUGGGCGGCGACCGGCAAACGGGUGCGGAACACGUACGCAACCUUCCUUCAAGCGGGGCAUAGCUUUCGGAAACGAAAAUUAAUACCCCAUAGUAAUGUCUGAUGGCAUCUGAGGACAUUUAAAGAUUUAUCACUUGAAGAUGGGCGUGCGCCUGAUUAGGUAGUUGGCGGGGUAACGGCCCACCAAGCCUACGAUCAGUAACUGGUGUGAGAGCACGACCAGUCACACGGGCACUGAGACACGGGCCCGACUCCUACGGGAGGCAGCAGUAAGGAAUAUUGGUCAAUGGACGCAAGUCUGAACCAGCCAUGCCGCGUGGAGGAUGAAGGUCCUCUGGAUUGUAAACUUCUUUUAUCGGAGAAGAAACCCCCGAGUUCUCUUGGGGUUGACGGUACCCGAUGAAUAAGCACCGGCUAACUCCGUGCCAGCAGCCGCGGUAAUACGGAGGGUGCAAGCGUUAUCCGGAUUCACUGGGUUUAAAGGGAGCGUAGGUGGGCUGGUAAGUCAGUGGUGAAAUCUCCGGGCUUAACCCGGAAACUGCCGUUGAUACUAUCAGUCUUGAAUGUUGUGGAGGUAAGCGGAAUAUGUCAUGUAGCGGUGAAAUGCUUAGAUAUGACAUAGAACACCGAUAGCGAAGGCAGCUUGCUACACAAUUAUUGACACUGAGGCUCG